rnacentral:rRNA from 1 species
GCUGAGCCUACUUGAAGGGUGGGCAGCGAGGGUGGCCAUGUUUGCCGGUCCAGUGAGUGAACCUCCCUUGUCUCCAGGUACCUAGAGUGAGACCCGUGUGGCCGGGCUGUGGUUUGAAGACUCUAACAGUCCCACCUGACCUCCUGCAACCACCAGCCUUCCCCUUCAUCCCUCAAAGGAUUAGAGGUGGAUGAAUGACUGCUGUGUGCCUGAGUGGGCCAGCCGUGGAGCAGCCUGCCUGCUUUGCCGUGGGAAGCCUCUCGUGCUGCCGCAGAUGGCAGGGGCUUACUGGAACCCAUUUUUUUAUUUAAACCCUGAUGGUCUUGGCUGAAUCCCAAGUGGGGAAGCUAGACAGGGUGCUGGGCCUUCUCAACAUGUGGGGGAAUGGGCAGUGCUGCCCCCCCAGGCUCUCAUGCACCGGCAGGUCGGGCUGAUGUCUGAAGGUUGCCUCUGACUCUUGGCAGUAGAUCACUCAGCUUGCAUGUCGAUGGAGAAUGCAGCUAGCUCAGAGAAUUGGUGUGAAUUUCAGGACACAUGAUCAUUGACACUUUGAACGCAGCUUGUAGUCCUGAGUCCCUCUCAGGGUUACACCUUUCUGAGGGUUGCUGAAUGUCAUUCACCUGGGGAUACUCCCUGAGGCAUGGCUGUGACAAUUGCAGGGGCCCACUUUCCCUUCAUCCCUAAGGUCAGACCUCGAUCAGCACUGUCGCAGGAUCACUGAGCCUGGCAUGGAGUCUUGCUGACCACUGAUCUGGGCCUCUCUGUUUAACCCCUUGUGGGGUUGUUAGGGCCAGGUGCCCGGCAAUCCUCAGUGGUGGUGGCACUGGCCUAAAUACUGAUGCAUCUCCCCAUCCCAGGGCCAUGUCUUGUGUGGCUGUCUGUGGUGUCCCACAGCUGCCUCUGCGGACAACCUUUGAGUGUAGGCCUCGCGACAGCAUCAGGCAAGCAACCUCUCUGAGGCAGGCUUCCAUGCAGAUAAGGAGAGCCCACAUUUGACCACACCAGAGGUGAGGAUUGGGGCCAUCAGAGAUUUGGCUCUCUGACUACAAACUCAGAUCAGAUGUAGCGAGCCACUGAAUUUAAGCAUAAUAGUAAGCAGAGGAAAAUAAACAAACCAGUAUUCUUCAGUAGUGGCGAGUGAAGAGAGAAGAGCCCAACGCUGAAUCCCCAUCCGGCAGCCUGGACAGGAAUUUUGGCGUACAGAAGACCAACUCCCCAGCAUCACUCAGAGGGCCCAAGUCCUUCUGAGAGAGGCUCACUCCAUGGAAGGUCUUAGGCUUGUAGCUACCUACGGUGCACCAGGAUUGGGUCUUCUCAGAGUUCGGUUGCUUGGGACUGGAGUCCAAAGCAGGUGGUAAACUCCAUCUAAGGCUAAAUACCGGCGCGAGAACGAUAGCCACCAAUUACCAAAAGGGAAAGUUGAAAAGAACUUUGAAGAGAGAGUUCAAGAUGGCGUGAAACCAUUGAGAGAUAGACGGGUGGGGUCUGUGCAGUCUACCAGGAGGAUUCAACAUGAUGGGCAGAUCAAGUGCCCAGAGCUGCGGAUCCCUCACAGGACCACUGCCCAGAUACUUCCAGCACCGCACAAUGUUAGAUAUAUGGUGGUAGAUAAUAGUAUUGUUAGGAGGUGUCUCAAGUGCUGCAUUGUUACACCUAUGUUCACGCGUUGUAAGUAUUAUACCAGGUGUGCAUAGAGCAUGUUUUGGAGAAUGUAUUUGAUUCUGCUCUUAGCCUGUAAAAAAACAAUACAUUGUCAGCUAAGGGCAGCUCAUUAACCCGGAAUGGGCCCCUUAUGUGGUACAAAAAUAUCAGAAUGCUCCUACAUCUGAUUAGUGGCGUGCAUGAAUGUAUGAACGAUAUCGCCACUGUCCCUACCUACUAUCUAGAGAAACCACAGCCAAGGGAAGGGGCUUGGUACAAUCACGGGGGCAAGAAUACCCCAUUGAGCGUGACUCGAGUCUGGUACUGAGAAGAGAUAUGAGAUGCAUAGGAUAAGUGAGAGGCCCUUGGGCCACCGGUGAAAUACUUCUGCUCUUGUUUUUUCACUUACCCAGUGAGGCAAUAGGGACAAGUCCCAUGGGUUUCUAGAUUCUGGCUCCAAGUGCCCGGCACCCACCGGGCAUGACAUGCUCUGGAGACAGUGGCAGUUGGGGAGUUUGACUGGGGUGGUACGCCUGUCAAAUGAUAAUGCAGGUGUCCUCAGGAGAGCUCAAGGAGGACAGAAACUUCCCAUGCAGCAGAAGGGCAAAAGCUCACUGGAUCUCAAUUUUCAGUAUGAAUACAGACCAUAUUCACUGAGCCUCAUGAUCCUUCUGGCUUUUUAGGUUUCAAGCAGGAGGUGUCUGAAAAGAUACCAGAGGAAUAACUGGAUUGUGGAGGCCAAGCGUUCAAGCAACGUCGCUUUUUGAUCCUUCAAUGUCAGCUGUUCCUUCAAUUGUGAAGCAGAAUUUAACAUGAGUUGGAUUGUUCACCCACUGAUAGGAAACAUGAGCUGUGUUUAGCCCAUCUUGAGAAAGGUUUGUUUUACCCUACUGAUGAUGUGUUGUUGCAAUGGUAAUUCUGCUCAGUAUGAGAGGAACCUCAGGUUCAGACAUUUGGUGUAUGUGCUUGGCGGAUGAGCCAAUGGGGUGAAGCUACCAUCUAUGGGACUAUGACUACACCCUCUAAGUGAGAAUCCCCCCUAAACCAUAAUGAUACCGUAGCCCUGUAGAGCCUCAGCAGGGUCUAGGAUAGCUGGCCUUUGGGCCAGUGCAUAGAGCCACUCAGCUAGGGACUUGAGUGUGGACAGAAGGGGACCACCUCUCUGGCCAACUGUGCAUCGCACGUCC